UUUUUAAAAUAUUAAUAUUUUAUUAAAUUUUUUGCUUUGGCGUUCUAAGCAUUUUCCUAUAAAUAGGGUGCUUAGGUUAGAAUUGAAAAUCACACCAGAAUCAGAAGUUUAUUUUUCUAUAAUAUCAAGCGUAUUUUUGUGAGUAUUUAGAUAUCUUGAGUAUUGCUAUGCAGUGCAAGUUUCUUUCAGUAUUAUAUCCGAUAUUCCAGUCAGAAGUGUUAUUCGUUUGAG
rnacentral:lncRNA from 1 species